ACCGGAACCUUGAUUCUUUGAUGGUUAGCGGCGGACGGGUGAGUAACACGUAGGCAACCUGCCCUCAAGUUUGGGACAACUACCGGAAACGGUAGCUAAUACCGAAUAAUUGUUUUCUUCGCCUGAAGGAAACUGGAAAGACGGAGCAAUCUGUCACUUGGGGAUGGGCCUGCGGCGCAUUAGCUAGUUGGUGAGGUAACGGCUCACCAAGGCGACGAUGCGUAGCCGACCUGAGAGGGUGAUCGGCCACACUGGGACUGAGACACGGCCCAGACUCCUACGGGAGGCAGCAGUAGGGAAUCUUCCGCAAUGGGCGAAAGCCUGACGGAGCAAUGCCGCGUGAGUGAUGAAGGUUUUCGGAUCGUAAAGCUCUGUUGCCAGGGAAGAACGCUUGGGAGAGUAACUGCUCCCAAGGUGACGGUACCUGAGAAGAAAGCCCCGGCUAACUACGUGCCAGCAGCCGCGGUAAUACGUAGGGGGCAAGCGUUGUCCGGAAUUAUUGGGCGUAAAGCGCGCGCAGGCGGUCAUUUAAGUCUGGUGUUUAAUCCCGGGGCUCAACCCCGGAUCGCACUGGAAACUGGGUGACUUGAGUGCAGAAGAGGAGAGUGGAAUUCCACGUGUAGCGGUGAAAUGCGUAGAUAUGUGGAGGAACACCAGUGGCGAAGGCGACUCUCUGGGCUGUAACUGACGCUGAGGCGCGAAAGCGUGGGGAGCAAACAGGAUUAGAUACCCUGGUAGUCCACGCCGUAAACGAUGAGUGCUAGGUGUUAGGGGUUUCGAUACCCUUGGUGCCGAAGUUAACACAUUUUACACUCCGCCUGGGGAGUGCGGUCGCGAGAGUGAAACUCAAAAGGAGUUGACGGGGGACCCCGCACCAGCAGUGGAGUAUGUUGGUUUAUUUCGAAGCACGCUGCACAACAUACCAAGGUCUUGACAUGACGUCUGAUCGAUGCAGAGAUGUAUCUUUUCUUCGUACAGUAGAAGACAGGAAGAUGCAUGGCUUGCGUCGCUCCUGCGGGAAAAGUUGCGUUAAGAUCAGCAACCAGCGCAAACCCUAUCUUUAUAUGCUAGCUUCUGCGUAUUGGCCACGUCUGCAUAAACUGACAGUGGCCACCGAAGAAGGGUGGGAUGUACGGUUAAUCAUCCUGACCGUCUGCACCCUGGCUACCAGCGUCUACAUCGUCCGGCCAC
rnacentral:rRNA from 2 species